UGUGUGUCUCAGAGCAAGGGCGUGUGAUAGAAAAGUUCUCACCACUCUGUAGUGCAACAACCAGAAAUGCUCCACUUGGAAACUGCAGAAGAAGGUUAAAUGAGAGGCCGUGCGGCAGAGCAGAGGGACUGAGUUGGAGAGUGCUGACAGGCUCAUCAGUCUUUAUACAUCCAGAACGGAAGCAAAUUGGCAGAGCAGAGCACCAGAGUCCUUCCCAUUCAGAA
rnacentral:lncRNA from 1 species